rnacentral:rRNA from 1 species
AAGGGUGCGUAGGCGGCUAUGCAAGUCAGAAGUUUAAUCCAUUGGCUCAACCAAUGUCCGCUUUUGAAACUGCAUGGCUUGAAUACAGGAGAGGCAAGUGGAAUUCCUAGUGUAGCGGUGAAAUGCGUAGAUAUUAGGAGGAACAUCGGUGGCGAAGGCGACUUGCUGGACUGAGAUUGACGCUGAGGCACGAAAGCGUGGGUAGCGAACAGGAUUAGAUACCCUGGUAGUCCACGCCGUAAAC